rnacentral:misc_RNA from 1 species
AAGUCGUAACAAGGUUUCCGUAGGUGAACCUGCGGAAGGAUCAUUAACACAAUACUUUCUAUUAUCAAUAACCUUUGCGCACCUGUCGGAGCCUUCUUCAGCGGUGGGUCGACUAGAUCAUGGUUGGAAUGCGGUCUAGCCUGCUGUCAAGUUAGCCCGUCAUUGCAUUCUUCUUUCUCUUUCGAGAGAAGAGAGUGUCAUUGGCGAUCGGUCUAACGCCCCGUUAUCGAAGGUCAAACAGCCUCAGCCAUGGCUGUGCCCCCUUUUUUUUCUUUUUAACCUUGAAUUUUUGUACUGAUUUGGGCUUUUGGAUCGAGAGAAGCAAUUCUUUCUCUGAAGCUUUUGUCUGAAUGCUUGUCAUUCAUUCACUAACCAAAACACAACUCUUAACAGUGGAUAUCUCGGUUCUC